AUAAAAUCCAGUCUGCUGCUGCUGGCUUUGCCCCUGAUCUGCCUCCUUGGCUGACAUCAUCAGAUGUGGUAUUCUGAGCCAAUCACAAUCCUUUCCCAUAGUAAAGCAUUGGAUUGGCUGAGCUUGUCAAGGAAGCAGAUCAGGGCCAGUACAAGCCAAAACACAGCCCUGGCCAAUCAGCAUCUCCUCAUAGUGUCACUGAAUCAGUGCAGCUCUAUGAGGAAAGUUCAGUGUCUCCAUGCAGAGGGUGGAGACACUGAAUGACUGUAC